CACCCAGGCCUCAACUCCGACCCCAAGCCGAGCGGGAAUCCACCAAACCUGGAGCAACUACAGACCGAGCUGAGAGACCUGAGGGACCAGUUUGAACUGAUGAAGAGUCAGCACAACAAAGAAAUGAAGUUGCUGAUGAACGAGCUUGAUGAGGAGAAAAGGAUUCGCUUGACUUUACAGAUGGAGAUUCAACGUAUGAAGAAGCACAUGUCUAAAUGAGGGCAGUAGAGAGCUUCAUCCAUCAUCAUACAAGUUUUAAAGGUCCUGUUGAUAAAAAAAAGUAUCACUCUUUUUUUUUUUAAAGAAAAUUUACUUUUCUGUUGGCCUGGUGAACAGGUCAGUCAAAAGAACUGAGUGUUUUCACUGAGUCAUGUUGAAAGGUGAAGAAGAUGCCAUACCCUGGUUAUAUAUUUCAUUUGUUUUAUAUAUUUCUUAAAUUACAUAAUUUUGACUUAAUGACUGUGGACUUAAGUUUCCAUGAGGUUUCCAUGAAGAGAAAAUUAUUUUUCUUUUUAUUCAGUGACUGUUUGCUUGUAUAUGUAUCAGACAUAUAGACUGUUGAUUUGUUUUCUAAAUAAUUCUUCCUUUAUCCAACCAUGUCGGGGACAAUUAGAGAAGCACAUGGAACAAUAUUUUAUUUUAUUUUUUUAAAUGUCAAACUCUUGCUUUAAUUGUAAGAUUAAUUGUGCUUGUUAGUGUUUAUAAUUAUUAU